UAGUCCAGACCGUAAACGGUGGGCACUAGUUGUGGGGGACCUUCCACGGUUUCUGCGACGCAGCUAACGCAUUAAGUGCCCCGCCUGGGGAGUACGAUCGCAAGAGUAAAACUCAAAGGAAUUGACGGGGCCCCGCACAAGCAGCGGAGCAUGCGGCUUAAUUCGACGCAACGCGAAGAACCUUACCAAGGCUUGACAUAUAGGGAAAAGUGGCAGAGAUGUCAUGUCCGCAAGGGCCCUAUACAGGUGGUGCAUGGUUGUCGUCAGCUCGUGUCGUGAGAUGUUGGGUUAAGUCCCGCAACGAGCGCAACCCUCGUUCUGUGUUGCCAGCAUUUAGUUGGGGACUCACAGGAGACUGCCGGGGUUAACUCGGAGGAAGGUGGGGAUGACGUCAAAUCAUCAUGCCCCUUAUGUCUUGGGCUGCACGCAUGCUACAAUGGCCGGUACAGAGGGCUGCAAUACCGUAAGGUGGGCGAAUCCCAAAAAGCCGGUCUCAGUUCGGAUUGAGGUCUGCAACUCGACCUCAUGAAGUUGGAGUUGCUAGUAAUCGUAGAUCAGCAACGCUACGGUGAAUACGUUCCCGGGGCUUGUACACACCGCCCGUCACGUCACGA
rnacentral:rRNA from 1 species